rnacentral:rRNA from 1 species
AUGAACGCUGGCGGCGUGCCUAAUACCUGCAAGUCGAGCGAACGGACGAGAAGCUUGCUUCUCUGAUGUUAGCGGCGGACGGGUGAGUAACACGUGGAUAACCUACCUAUAAGACUGGGAUAACUUCGGGAAACCGGAGCUAAUACCGGAUGAUAUUUUGAACCGCAUGGUUCAAAAGUGAAAGACGGUCUUGCUGUCACUUAUAGAUGGAUCCGCGCUGCAUUAGCUAGUUGGUAAGGUAACGGCUUACCAAGGCAACGAUGCAUAGCCGACCUGAGAGGGUGAUCGGCCACACUGGAACUGAGACACGGUCCAGACUCCUACGGGAGGCAGCAGUAGGGAAUCUUCCGCAAUGGGCGAAAGCCUGACGGAGCAACGCCGCGUGAGUGAUGAAGGUCUUCGUAUCGUAAAACUCUGUUAUUAGGGAAGAACAUAUGUGUAAGUAACUGUGCACAUCUUGACGGUACCUAAUCAGAAAGCCACGGCUAACUACGUG